rnacentral:rRNA from 1 species
CCUACGGGUGGCUGCAGUGGGGAAUAUUGGACAAUGGGCGAAAGCCUGAUCCAGCCAUGCCGCGUGUGUGAAGAAGGCCUUCGGGUUGUAAAGCACUUUCAGUGGGGAAGAAAGCCUUGGGGCUAAUACCCUCGAGGAAGGACAUCACCCACAGAAGAAGCACCGGCUAACUCCGUGCCAGCAGCCGCGGUAAUACGGAGGGUGCGAGCGUUAAUCGGAAUUACUGGGCGUAAAGCGCGCGUAGGCGGUCUGAUAAGCCGGUUGUGAAAGCCCCGGGCUCAACGUGGGAACGGCAUCCGGAACUGUCAGGCUAGAGUGCAGGAGAGGAAGGUAGAAUUCCCGGUGUAGCGGUGAAAUGCGUAGAGAUCGGGAGGAAUACCAGUGGCGAAGGCGGCCUUCUGGACUGACACUGACGCUGAGGUGCGAAAGCGUGGGUAGCAAACAGGAUUAGAUACCCUAGUAGUC